AUGCAUCGUGCGUGCCUCACCUCCAUCUGCAGGUGGAGAGAGAGAUGGAUUGGUGCCUACUACGCGCUGGUCGACGCCGCGGCCGCCGCAGUCCGCGAGCCCGGGUGCAUGGUGGCGCUCACGGACCUCCACCGCUGCCUCGAUGCCUUCAGUGAGUCCUGCGACCGAGCCGAGGGCCUCGUCCAGGCGGUGCCACCGGCCUCGGCCCCGACGCCUCCCUCCACGACGAGCUAUGUCGCGGCGUGCGUGCAGUCGACAAGGAUCUCCGGGCCGCCGAGGAGAAUGAUCUGGAAGAGGAGAAGCAUCACCCUCCGACCAUGCCGCUGGCGGCCGAGGACAAAUAGCCCAAUCGAUCUACCUCUUCUCCUGUUGAGAUGA
rnacentral:rRNA from 1 species